UACGGAGGAGGCAAGCGUUAUCCGGAAUUAUUGGGCGUAAAGCGUCCGCAGGUGGCACCUCAAGUCUGCUGUCAAAGACCGGGGCUUAACCCCAGAAAGGCAGUGGAAACUGAAGUGCUAGAGUGCAGUAGGGGUAGAGGGAAUUCCCGGUGUAGCGGUGAAAUGCGUAGAGAUCGGGAAGAACAUCGGUGGCGAAAGCGCUCUGCUGGACUGCAACUGACACUCAUGGACGAAAGCUAGGGGAGCGAAUGGG
rnacentral:rRNA from 1 species